rfam:Nocardiopsis sp. TSRI0078 scaffold1, whole genome shotgun sequence.
GGCUUUCUUCGCGGCGGAGCUCGACCGCCCACACACCAGGUAGUGGCCUACAUCGACCUGUACCGGCAGGAUUUCGGGGUCGAGCCGAUCUGCGACACCCUGCAGAUCGCCCCG